rnacentral:rRNA from 1 species
CCCAACCCAUGUGAACAUACCUACUGUUGCUUCGGCGGGAUUGCCCCGGGCGCCUCGUGUGCCCCGGAUCAGGCGCCCGCCUAGGAAACUUAAUUCUUGUUUUAUUUUGGAAUCUUCUGAGUAGUUUUUACAAAUAAAUAAAAACUUUCAACAACGGAUCUCUUGGUUCUGGCAUCGAUGAAGAACGCAGCGAAAUGCGAUAAGUAAUGUGAAUUGCAGAAUUCAGUGAAUCAUCGAAUCUUUGAACGCACAUUGCGCCCGCCAGUAUUCUGGCGGGCAUGCCUGUCUGAGCGUCAUUUCAACCCUCAUGCCCCUAGGGCGUGGUGUUGGGGAUCGGCCAAAGCCCGCGAGGGACGGCCGGCCCCUAAAUCUAGUGGCGGACCCGUCGUGGCCUCCUCUGCGAAGUAGUGAUAUUCCGCAUCGGAGAGCGACGAGCCCCUGCCGUUAAACCCCCAACUUUCCAAGGUUGACCUCAGAUCAGUAGGAAUACCCGCUGAACUUAAGCAUAUCAAA